rnacentral:rRNA from 1 species
GAUGAACGCUGGCGGCGUGCCUAAUACAUGCAAGCCGAGCGAACAGACGAGGAGCUUGCUCCUCUGACGUUAGCGGCGGACGGGUGAGUAACACGUGGAUAACCUACCUAUAAGACUGGGAUAACUUCGGGAAACUGGAGCUAAUACCGGAUAAUAUAUUGAACCGCAUGGUUCAAUAGUGAAAGAUGGUUUUGCUGUGACUUAUAGAUGGAUCCGCGCCGCAUUAGCUAGUUGGUAAGGUAACGGCUUACCAAGGCAACGAUGCGUAGACGACCUGAAAGAAAGAUCGACCACAGAGGAACUGAGUCAGGAGCCAGACUACUACGGUACGCAGCGUCAAGCAAUCUGCCGCAAUAAGCGAAAGCCUGACCGAGCAGCGGCGAGAAAGUGAUGAAGGUCUUCGGAUCAUGAAACUCUGUUAGUAUGGAGAAACGAAUGUAUAAUGAGCUAAACGCUUCUUGACGAUUCCUAAUCAGAAAGCCACGGCUAACUACGUG